rnacentral:lncRNA from 1 species
UUUUUCCUCUCUUUCAAAAUACACAUAUAUUUAUUUUUUACAACUCAUAAAACUCACACACAUAUUCAUAACUAUACAAGCAUAUUUUAGUUAUUCCAUUUUUCUCUUCAAAACACACACAAAAAUAUAUAUGAAAAUAAAUUUUCACACUAACACACACACAAAAACUCAUGCACUAGCACACACAAACAUCAGCACUCUCUCUCUCUAAAAAGAAAAAAAAAACAGCCACACAACCACAGCUCCACUACCGUCAGCGACCACCAUCACCAUACGCAUCUCUCUCCUCUCCUUACUACUGCCGACAAAACAUGCCACCAGAUUUGCUCUAGCAGCUGCCGCCCCUAUUCUCCUUCUCUCCAGCAGCUGAAACCUGUUGCUCCGGCGAACCACCACUCUGGCGACCACCACAGCCAUACGCCGUCCUUUCCUCCCUACUUUUUUCUCCUUUUCUUGCUGCUCACUUUCUCCUCUCUCCUCUAUUUGCUACUGUAGCGCCGAGAAAGGGUCAAGUUUGACCAGAUUUGGUGUGAUUUCGGCGUUGCUCCGGCAAAAGCCGUUGAAGCAACGUCGUUUUAGUCACUAAUUUAUUUUGUAAUAUAUAUUAAAUGUAGUUGGUUGAUUGUUAGCUUCGCAGAUCUAUUCGGAGUUGUACAUUCUUCGACGAACUCCAUUUUUUGGUGGGAUUUCAUUAUUUUUAGACUGCAUUUUAUUAAUAUAUUUGUAUACUGUGGCUUAUUUUGUUGUUGCUGCUAUAUUUGCUCCGUUUUUGAUUAUUUUUUCCAUUGGUUGGCUGUUGUGUUGAAUCAUACAUUGGUUUUGGACUGUUGUGUCAUUUACACAUUUCUACUUGGCUGAUAAAGAAUAAGAUACUACACGAUACAUGGCCGAUGAAAAAUUAUUAUUAAUUUGAGGCCUCCGUAAAUAAAAGAUGGACUUUACGUGUACAAAUAUGUAAUAAAAUAAAUAUUUU